CCUACGGGUGGCAGCAGUGGGGAAUAUUGCGCAAUGGGCGCAAGCCUGACGCAGCGACGCCGCGUGAGGGAUGAAGGUCUUCGGAUCGUAAACCUCUGUCAGCAGGUAAGCACGGUCACUGUGCUAAUCAGCAGUGAAUUGACGGGAACUGCAAAGGAAGCACCGGCUAACUCCGUGCCAGCAGCCGCGGUAAUACGGAGGGGGCGAGCGUUAAUCGGAAGUAAUUGGCGUAAAGCGGUCGUAGGCAGGAUGUCAAGUCAAGGGUGAAAUCCCCGCGCUCAACGUGGUAACUGCCUUUGAAACUGGCAAACUGGAGUGUGGUAGAGGAUAGUGGAAUUCCCGGUGUAGUAGUGAAAGCCGUAGAUAUCUGGAGGAACAUCAGUGGCGAAGGCGACUAUCUGGCACAUAACUGACGCUGAGGAGCGAAAGCGUGGGUAGCAAACAGGAUUAGAUACCCUUGUAGUC
rnacentral:rRNA from 1 species